UAAUAAUAAUAGGCUGGGCACGGUGGCUCACGCCUGUAAUCCCAGCACUUUGGGAGGCCGAGGCAGGCGGAUCCCGAGGUCAGGAGAUCGAGACCAUCCUGGCUAACAAGAUGAAGCAAUUGUACUCAUAGCACUGAGCCACCCAUUCCUCUGAGUGGGCUAAUGAGAGGUUGGUAGUGAAUUUUGAUCUGAUGACCUUGAGGAGAGAGAACCAGCAGACCGAAGACCAUGAGACUUCCCACCCACAGUGAGCUAAAAGGACGCUUUUGUCAGAGUGGGGAAAUAAAAGGGCUUUAUGGGAAGGAAGAUAAGAAUAGAUGAGUCAGAGGUUUCUGCUUAAUGCAAAACCAAGAAUCUUCUUGGGCUAAGCCCCAGUUUGGGGUUCACCUGCCUUGCAGCAACAUGGCACCAAACAUGGGGCAGAAGAGAGAAGAUGACAGCAUGAGAGACGGAGAAAGAAAUGGCAAUUGGCAA